rnacentral:rRNA from 1 species
GACGAACGCUGGCGGCGUGCUUAACACAUGCAAGUCGAGCGGUAAGGCCCUUUCGGGGGUACGACGAGCGGCGAACGGGUGAGUAACACGUGGGUGACCUGCCCUCAGCUCUGGGAUAAGCCCGGGAAACUGGGUCUAAUACCGGAUAUGACUUCAUGACGCAUGUUGUGGAGUGGAAAGCCUUGUGCGGCUGAGGAUGGGCCCGCGGCCUAUCAGCUUGUUGGUGGGGUGANGGCCUACCAAGGCGACGACGGGUAGCCGGCCUGAGAGGGCGACCGGCACACUGGGACUGAGAUACGGCCCAGACUCCUACGGGAGGCAGGCAGUGGGGAAUCUUGCGCAAUGGGCGAAAGCCUGACGCAGCGACGCCGCGUGAGGGNUGACGG